UUCAUAGCUCAGUUGGUAAAGCAUGAGACUCUUAAUCACAGGAUCAUGGGUUUAAACCUUACCUUUGGCAAAA